rnacentral:rRNA from 1 species
UUGAAGAGUUUGAUCAUGGCUCAGAUUGAACGCUGGCGGCAGGCCUAACACAUGCAAGUCGAACGGUAACAGGAAGCAGCUUGCUGCUUCGCUGACGAGUGGCGGACGGGUGAGUAAUGUCUGGGAAACUGCCUGAUGGAGGGGGAUAACUACUGGAAACGGUGGCUAAUACCGCAUAACGUCGCAAGACCAAAGAGGGGGACCUUCGGGCCUCUUGCCAUCAGAUGUGCCCAGAUGGGAUUAGCUUGUUGGUGAGGUAACGGCUCACCAAGGCGACGAUCCCUAGCUGGUCUGAGAGGAUGACCAGCCACACUGGAACUGAGACACGGUCCAGACUCCUACGGGAGGCAGCAGUGGGGAAUAUUGCACAAUGGGCGCAAGCCUGAUGCAGCCAUGCCGCGUGUAUGAAGAAGGCCUUCGGGUUGUAAAGUACUUUCAGCGGGGAGGAAGGUGUUGUGGUUAAUAACCGCAGCAAUUGACGUUACCCGCAGAAGAAGCACCGGCUAACUCCGUGCCAGCAGCCGCGGUAAUACGGAGGGUGCAAGCGUUAAUCGGAAUUACUGGGCGUAAAGCGCACGCAGGCGGUCUGUCAAGUCGGAUGUGAAAUCCCCGGGCUCAACCUGGGAACUGCAUUCGAAACUGGCAGGCUUGAGUCUUGUAGAGGGGGGUAGAAUUCCAGGUGUAGCGGUGAAAUGCGUAGAGAUCUGGAGGAAUACCGGUGGCGAAGGCGGCCCCCUGGACAAAGACUGACGCUCAGGUGCGAAAGCGUGGGGAGCAAACAGGAUUAGAUACCCUGGUAGUCCACGCCGUAAACGAUGUCUACUUGGAGGUUGUGCCCUUGAGGCGUGGCUUCCGGAGCUAACGCGUUAAGUAGACCGCCUGGGGAGUACGGCCGCAAGGUUAAAACUCAAAUGAAUUGACGGGGGCCCGCACAAGCGGUGGAGCAUGUGGUUUAAUUCGAUGCAACGCGAAGAACCUUACCUGGUCUUGACAUCCACAGAACUUUCCAGAGAUGGAUUGGUGCCUUCGGGAACUGUGAGACAGGUGCUGCAUGGCUGUCGUCAGCUCGUGUUGUGAAAUGUUGGGUUAAGUCCCGCAACGAGCGCAACCCUUAUCCUUUGUUGCCAGCGGUCCGGCCGGGAACUCAAAGGAGACUGCCAGUGAUAAACUGGAGGAAGGUGGGGAUGACGUCAAGUCAUCAUGGCCCUUACGACCAGGGCUACACACGUGCUACAAUGGCGCAUACAAAGAGAAGCGACCUCGCGAGAGCAAGCGGACCUCAUAAAGUGCGUCGUAGUCCGGAUUGGAGUCUGCAACUCGACUCCAUGAAGUCGGAAUCGCUAGUAAUCGUGGAUCAGAAUGCCACGGUGAAUACGUUCCCGGGCCUUGUACACACCGCCCGUCACACCAUGGGAGUGGGUUGCAAAAGAAGUAGGUAGCUUAACCUUCGGGAGGGCGCUUACCACUUUGUGAUUCAUGACUGGGGUGAAGUCGUAACAAGGUAACCGUAGGGGAACCUGCGGUUGGAUCACCUCCUU